AUGAGGAGAACGAUACCUGAGAGAAAGAGGAGCGGAGUCACGUCCAGAGGGAACCAAGUCCUCGAAUACCGGUUUAUUCUGAUGCGAGGAAGUGGACUUAAUGGACUGGCGGACAAUGCGGGUGGAAUGGUUGAUUGCCAGUAGGUUUUCGAGAGGAAAAAGAAAAAGAGGGCUGGAAGCGAGUGACACGGACAAAAAACAAGAGAAGAAAAUGAAGGGUCGCAAUAAGCCGGGGAUGAAAUAGGGAAAGAUGAAAAGGGUUGCAUUGAUUGGAUCACUCAGCAAACCACAGAAAGAGAGCGCGCGUGAGAGGAAAUGGCUCCGAGACCUUAGUUUUAAUAGUAUUCCUUCAGACCGACACCAGCUAAUCAUCGGAGAGAGUGUGUGACUGACUUUGAGUUAUCGGCCCCUUCAUUGUUCCAAAAUUGAUCACACUAUCUCCCAAUCCAUCUCCGCACAUUCAUCUCGGGUGAAAGUGGUUGUCCAGGGCGCAUAAUGGACAGAUUAGGAGGAAAACCUCUGUUCUGGCAACACUCAAUAUUUCCCCAUUAGCGCGGUGGCCUCUGGGAUUAGACCUUUGCCGCACAUUAAAGAUGUCAAUACUGCUAAUAUUGCUUUUGGAGGUCCUCCACCUUCUCAGCGCCACAGCUUGUGUAACCAGAUCUGUUUGAUAGGAUCUAUUGAGCAGCCCUGAGACUGGCAGCAGGAGACCUGUAGGUCUCCUUGUCUAUUUGAGGACGGAAGACUGUGGGAGGAAAGAGUGUUUGUCCUCAGCGUGGCUCUAUUCGGACUAUUGGAGGUCGACGACUCACAAAGCAUCUCAGUGUCUCAUUCAUUACACAAAUGCAUACUGAAAAAUAAUCAAAUUUGCCCUCCGUGGCACAAAAAUGAAUUGUAGAGAACUUUUUUUCCACUCUCCACUUUGCUUAGUCACCGUGACAACUGUUCUCUCUAUGACGUUGUGCGGCCGAGACCUGUGAAGUGCCUUGAGAUAAUAUACUGUACGUUGUGCUUUGGUUCCAUUCGAGUGAAGCUGAAUUUAAUUUAAUUUAACUUCUUUAUGCUGUUCAUAUAGACGGAAAUGAGGCGGUCUGCAUUGAUAGCUACUUACUGCAGCUAACUGAAUGUCACGUUCAACUCAACAUGUAACUAUUUUUGACAUAUAAUCGGGGUUUGAAGGCCCCUUUUACAUUUGCUAUUGAAUUAGCUAUUUGGUUGAGCUGAAGCCCGACACUUACC
rnacentral:lncRNA from 1 species